UACAGAGGGUGCGAGCGUUGUUCGGAAUUACUGGGCGUAAAGCGCGCGCAGGCGGCCCUUUAAGUCUACCCGUGAAAUGCCGGAGCUCAACUCCGUGCACGCCGGGGGAUACUGGGGGGCUGGAGACAGGUAGAGGCAAGCGGAAUUCCGGGUGUAGCGGUGGAAUGCGUAGAUAUCGAGAGGAACACCUGCGGCGAAGGCGGGUUGCUGGGCCGACACUGACGCUGAUGCGCGAAAGCCAGGGGAGCGAACGGG
rnacentral:rRNA from 1 species